GAUGAACGCUAGCUACAGGCUUAACACAUGCAAGUCGAGGGACCGGCGCACGGGUGAGUCACACGUACCCAACCUGCCCUUUACCCGGGGAUAGCCUUUCGAAAGAAAGAUUAAUACCCGACGUAACGGAUGGGGAUGCGUUCCUUGAGGUUGUUGGGGAGGUAACGGCACACCAAGCCUUCGAGGGGUAGGGGUUAUGAGAGGAAGGUCCCCCACAAUGGAGCUGAGGCACGGUCCAAGCUCGUACGGGAGGCAGCAGUGGAGAAGAUAAUUCAAUAGACGUUAGCCUGGCCCAGCCAAGUAGCGUGAAGGGUGAAGGGUUUUGGGUCGUAAUCUUCUUUUGUAGAAGAAUAUGUAUUAUAUGAAUAAGGAUCGGCUAACUCCGUGCCAGCAGCCGCGGUAAUUC
rnacentral:rRNA from 1 species